rnacentral:misc_RNA from 1 species
GGAAGUAAAAGUUGUAACAAGGUUUCCGUAGGUGAACCUGCGGAAGGAUCAUUAAUGAGUUGUCAUGGGGUUCGAUGCUGGCAGCCAAUUUUUGGAUGCAUGUGCUUGCCCUAACAAUCAUCUUCCAAACACCUGUGCACAUUUUUGAGGGAGUCUUGAGUUGGUUGCCGCUCUUGGGUGAUUUUCUCACAUUCCCUUAAAUCAUUAUACGCUAUUAACAAUGUUGAACGUGCUCUGUGCCGCAAGGCUAUUAAUAUAAUACAACUUUUAACAACGGAUCUCUUGGCUCUC